CAAACCGACACUGGUGGAUGAGUAGAGUAUACUAAGGUGUUGAAAGAAUGAUGUUGAAGGAACUCGGCAAAUUAUACCUGUAACUUCGGAAGAAGGGUAACCUGCUUUUAGGCAACUAUGAGUAGGUGGCACAAAAUAGGGAGUAGCGACUGUUUACUAAAAACACAGGACUCUGCAAACACGUAAGUGGAAGUAUAGGGUCUGACGCCUGCCCGGUGCUGGAAGGUUAAUAGGAAGGGUGCAAGCUCCGAAUUGAAGCCCCAGUAAACGGCGGCCGUAACACUGACGGUCCUAAGGUAGCGAAAUUCCUUGUCGGGUAAGUUCCGACCCGCACGAAUGGCGUAACGAUUUCUCCACUGUCUCCAACAUCACUUCAGCGAAAUUGAAUUCCCCGUGCAGAUGCGGGGUACCCGCGGUUAGACGAAGAGACCCCGUGCACCUUUACUAUAGCUUUACAUUGCUAUUAAAAGUGUGAUGUGCAGGAUAGGUGGGAGACUUUGAAGUUAUGGCGCUAGCUAUAAUGGAGUCAACCUUGAGAUACCACCCUUUACACUUUUGAUAUCUAACUAUGUUUCAUUAUCUGGAACUAGGACAUUGUAUGGUGGGUAGUUUGACUGGGGCGGUCGCCUCCUAAAAAGUAACGGAGGCGUGCGAAGGUAAGCUAGAGCUGGUCGGAAAUCAGCUUGAUAGUAUAAUGGCAUAAGCUUGCCUGACUGCGAGGCUGACAAGCCAAGCAGAGACGAAAGUCGGUCAUAGUGAUCCGGUGAUUCUGUAUGGAAGGGUCAUCGCUCAACGGAUAAAAGGUACGCCGGGGAUAACAGGCUGAUGGUGUUCGAGCGUUCAUAGCGACGACACCGUUUGGCACCUCGAUGUCGACUCAUCACAUCCUGGGGCUGAAGAAGGUCCCAAGGGUUCGGCUGUUCGCCGAUUAAAGUGAUACGUGAGUUGGGUUUAGAACGUCGUGAGACAGUUCGGUUUCUAUCUGCCGUGGGUGAAGGAAAUUUGAGAAGGUCUGACUCUAGUACGAGAGGACCGAGAUGGAUAUACCUCUGGUGUACCAGCUGUUAUGCCAAUAGCAUCGCUGGGUGGCUAUGUAUAGAUGGGAUAAUUGCUGAAAGCAUAUAAGCAAGAAACCCUCUUCAAAAAGAUUUCCCAAUUAAGGCCGUGGAAGACUACCACGUUGAUAGGCUAGGUGUGGAAGCAUGGUAACAUGUGAAGCUAACUAGUACUAAUAGCCUGAUUGAUUUAUUUGC
rnacentral:rRNA from 1 species